rnacentral:rRNA from 1 species
UACGAAGGGGGCUAGCGUUGCUCGGAAUCACUGGGCGUAAAGCGCACGUAGGCGGAUUGCUAAGUCAGGGGUGAAAUCCCGGAGCUCAACUCCGGAACUGCCUUUGAUACUGGCGAUCUUGAGUCCGGGAGAGGUGAGUGGAACUGCGAGUGUAGAGGUGAAAUUCGUAGAUAUUCGCAGGAACACCAGUGGCGAAGGCGGCUCACUGGCCCGGUACUGACGCUGAGGUGCGAAAGCGUGGGGAGCAAACAGG